UACGAAGGGGGCUAGCGUUGCUCGGAAUCACUGGGCGUAAAGGGCGCGUAGGCGGAUGUUUAAGUCAGAGGUCAAAUCCCGGGGCUCAACCUCGGAACUGCCUUUGAUACUGGACAUCUAGAGUACGGGAGAGGUGUGUGGAACUCCGAGUGUAGAGGUGAAAUUCGUAGAUAUUCGGAAGAACACCAGUGGCGAAGGCGACACACUGGCCCGUUACUGACGCUGAGGCGCGAAAGCGUGGGGAGCAAACAGG
rnacentral:rRNA from 1 species